CGCAAUAUGUUAUUUAAAUAGGAACACUUGUGUCGAAACACAAAAUAUAAACUCGAAAUGUGCCAAUUGUAUUUAUUACGGUUUUCGUCGUUGUAGUGUUUUAAGUUAGCUUCACGUUACAGAUUAGAAUGAAACUACUAGAUAUUUUUGCUUGUUUUAUUAUUGUGUUUUUAUAGGCACAAUUUUAGUAUUCAUACGUUAAACAUUUAGCUGAUAGUAUUGUUAUUACACUGACUAAGCUAACAUCAUAACAUGCACUGUGAAUCUAAAACUAAAAAUACUCGUAGAUACCACAGACGGAAGACGAAUCAUAGGUCGGGUCGAAGAGGUGACAGUGUUACGAUGCACGUCACGGAUUAGAAUGACACUAUUCAUUAUUAUCUAUAUUUGAAUCUGACGGGCCUUCACGUAAUUUGUUCAACGAUUCUUCUAGAAACCUCAACUAAUCGGUCAUGCAGUCAAACAUCUUGCGACUUUUUUCUAUUUGACCUAACGCUAAAUCGAGUACAUGCCAAAAACUGUCAUAUUUCAAAGGAUAUGCUAUAGCAUCAAGUGUCUUUUCACUUUCGACCAAUAUUAACGUUGAAAGAUCACAUUACCAAUUUUUUAAUUGGCAUUUGGAAAUUCUGUCGAUGGCAGACCCGAUGAAUCCAGGCAAAUGUAUACUGCCUUUGUAUAUUGUAAUAUCAGAAGAUCAUUAUUAUAGUAGCCCGACCAGACUAACGCAAAUAACAAAGAGUAACAAAACCACCAUAUACAUGAGUCAAAUGGCAAAUGUUGAUAUCAUGUACCGACAAUGAAGAUCUAGUUUAUAGCCCCAACGUCAUACUAAGCAAUCCUGGAUGAAGUGAAAUCGACCAUAUCAAAGGAAAACACCAGUGCUCUACAAAUUCAUUUUCCGGCAAUGAUCUGUUUAUACCCAUCGAAGAACCCGAUAAUUUCUAUGUAAGCGCGAUGAAAAUUUCUACGAUAAAUACUGGAUGACCGCUCAAUUGAUUGCAUGUGUGUACGCGAAGGUCAUUUUAGAUAAUUUAUCAUUUAUUCUAUUUAUUGUACACAAAAGCACACGUGACGCAAAAAGUGUGAGUAAUAAGCUCCGUGUCCGAAGGCAUUACUAUAAAACCAACAAGGCAUAUUUUCCAAAAGCUAUAGGAACUGUUUUGAACUAUGACAGAUUUUUGGAUGUGCUCGAUUUAGCGUUGGGUCAAAUAAAAAAAAGUCACAAAAUGUUUGACUGCAUAACCAAUGCGUUGAGUUUUUUAGAAGAAUCGUUUAACAAAUUACGUGAAGGCCUGUCGGAUUCAAAUAUAGAGCUUAUAAAGAGAAGCUUUCUAUUCGUAACGUAAGGCAAGCUAUGAAACAAUACAACGACGAAAACCAUAAUAAAUACAAUUAAAAAAUUUCAAGAGUUCCCUUUUUGUUGGAAAAAUUUUUGAAAUAUCAUAUAUUUGAGCAAAUUGAUUCAUUUUACAAACGAAAACUGCGAAAUUUUACAAACCGCAAACACAAGCGAACCUCAGACUUUAAGUGUGCAUCAGGCCUGUAUCAUUCAUUCCGUUGAAGACGUUCAAUUAGAAUGUGAAAAUCUAAAAAACAAGGACAUCAAUAAUUACUACCAAAAGUUAGUUGUCCCGAAAGAAGAAGAAAUAGUAAUGUAAAAUCACAUAACGUAAUUUGUUGUAAUCCGAAAUAUUAUAUUAAUGUAAUUUUGUUAAACUUAUUAUUUAUAUAAAUAACGAUUUUCUUAAUAAUCUAA